AGCACAUGUCCUUCGCAUGAACUCUUUGUGACCUCUGAUUAUCUGAUGUGAGCGCAUUUCUGAAGGUUUGAUGACACAGAUGCAGAUGCUGAAUCGAACUAAUUUACAUAGACCACAUUAAGGAGAUAGUACAGCGCAUGGGGUGGUAGCCCUUCAAAGAUACAUAUACAGGCAUCGAGGCAACUAUAGCAGAUGUGGACUUCUAGGUUCGUUCUAUAUUUUUGGAGCACAUGUCCAUGGCAGACCUAUGAUUAUCUGAUGUGAGCACAUCUCUGAAG